UGAAGUCAAAGGGGCAGAUCCUUUGUGGAUGGGAGAGGGGUUUCCUUGAUGGGGAGUUGACUGUCCUGUCUUCAGCAUUGUAGGAUGAAAGCCAUCCUGGGAAAGGUGAAUCCCUGAAUUUCACUGGGAGGAAGAAAAAUCCUGCCCUCUCUCAAUGACAUAGGGGAUCAGUCUGGUCUGAAUCCUGAGGUAUGGAGUUGCAUGGAGUGCUCUCAGAAGAGGGAAAGUGGAGUAAGCCAGCCCUAAGUCCAUGGAGGUCAAACCGCCCCAGACAGGGACACCACGUGGUUUAGAGAGGCCUCUGGCUGAGCUCCUCACCUGCUGGCAGCUUCUCGUCCUCCCCAGACCCAGCCAAAUGAGAAGCCACAGCCUGGAGACAGGAAGGACACAGUGCCUCUCCUCCCCGCAGUUGUGUUCCUAGGACUUCUACCAUGCCCU
rnacentral:lncRNA from 1 species